GGAUGUGAGGGUGAGCUGGCUGUGACACCUGUUACCCAUUGAUGAUCCAUUACCCCAUUGAUCACCAGGGUUGAUUUGGCUAAUCUGGCUGGCUGGGGAGGUGUAACCUUCCUCCCUUAUUGCUUUAUGUGCAUCCCUCCUGAAGCUAUGAAAGUAGUGCAUUUGGUUAAAGAGGACCACUGUCCCUAAUAGAGGAGGAUGUUUCCUCAGUCAGGGGUAUAUGAGUAGCUGCACUUGCCUGCUAGAACUUCCAAACAAGCUCUCAAAUAGCUGGGAUUACAGGUGUGCACCACCACGGCUGAUGAGGACUGGUAAUUAAGUGUUACCUUUUUC
rnacentral:snRNA from 1 species